rnacentral:rRNA from 1 species
UACGAAGGGGGCUAGCGUUGCUCGGAAUCACUGGGCGUAAAGGGUGCGUAGGCGGGUCUUUUAAGUCAGGGGUGAAAUCCUGGAGCUCAACUCCAGAACUGCCUUUGAUACUGAGGAUCUUGAGUUCGGGAGAGGUGAGUGGAAUUCCUGGUGUAGAGGUGAAAUUCGUAGAUAUCAGGAGGAACACCAGCGGCGAAGGCGGCGCUCUGGGCCGGUACUGACACUGAGGAGCGAAAGCGUGGGUAGCAAACAGG